rnacentral:rRNA from 1 species
GGAAGGAUCAUUAUCGUACAACCGAGGAGCAGGGGCUGUCGCUGACCUUUUGAAKGUCGUGCACGCCCGGGCGCUCUCACCACAMUCCAUCUCACCCCUUUUGUGCAUCACCGCGUGGGUCCCCCUUUGCGGGGACGGCUCGCGUUUUCACAUAAAACUCGAUACAGUCUACAAUGUUCAUUUUUGCGGUAACACGCAAUCAAUACAACUUUCAACAACGGAUCUCUUGGCUCUCGCAUCGAUGAAGAACGCAGCGAAAUGCGAUACGUAAUGUGAAUUGCAGAAUUCAGUGAAUCAUCGAAUCUUUGAACGCACCUUGCGCCCCUUGGCAUUCCGAGGGGCACACCCGUUUGAGUGUCGUGAAAUUCUCAAAAUCCUUUUCUUUGAUCGGAAUGGGACUUUUGGACUUGGAGGUUCAAUGCUCGCUUUCACCUUUGAAAGCGAGCUCCUCUCAAAUGAAUCAGUGGGGUCCGCUUUGCUGGUCCUUGACGUGAUAAGAUGUUUCUACGUUUUGGAUCUGGCAUCGUAUUCUCUGCUCCUAACCCGUCUCAUGCACAACGAUGGUGCUUCGGUCGCCGCCAUCUACGGCGGGAGGCUGGACCCACAAAGAACCUUGACCUCAAAUCGGG